GACGAACGCUGGCGGCGUGCCUAAUACAUGCAAGUAGAACGCUGAAGGAGGAGCUUGCUUCUCUGGAUGAGUUGCGAACGGGUGAGUAACGCGUAGGUAACCUGCCUGGUAGCGGGGGAUAACUAUUGGAAACGAUAGCUAAUACCGCAUAAGAGUAGAUGUUGCAUGACAUUUGCUUAAAAGGUGCAAUUGCAUCACUACCAGAUGGACCUGCGUUGUAUUAGCUAGCUGGUGAGGUAACGGCUCACCAAGGCGACGAUACAUAGCCGACCUGAGAGGGUGAUCGGCCACACUGGGACUGAGACACGGCCCAGACUCCUACGGGAGGCAGCAGUAGGGAAUCUUCGGCAAUGGACGGAAGUCUGACCGAGCAACGCCGCGUGAGUGAAGAAGGUUUUCGGAUCGUAAAGCUCUGUUGUAAGAGAAGAACGAGUGUGAGAGUGGAAAGUUCACACUGUGACGGUAUCUUACCAGAAAGGGACGGCUAACUACGUG
rnacentral:rRNA from 1 species